rnacentral:rRNA from 1 species
UACGGGGGGGGCAAGCGUUGUUCGGAAUUACUGGGCGUAAGGGGCUCGUAGGCGGCCAACUAAGUCGGAUGUGAAAUCCCCAAGCUUAACUUGGGAACUGCAUCCGAUACUGGAUGGCUUGAAUCCGGGAGAGGGAUGCAGAAUUCCAGGUGUAGCGGUGAAAUGCGUAGAUAUCUGGAGGAAUACCGGUGGCGAAGGCGGCAUCCUGGACCGGCAUUGACGCUGAGGAGCGAAAGCUAGGGGAGCAAACGGG